rnacentral:lncRNA from 1 species
CUAACCAAGCCCCAAUUUACGCCUGAAAACCCGAAACACCCGCUCCUCGUUCUAGAACAAACGCAAGAAAUCGUGGGAAAAAUCAAAACCAAGAAAUUCAUCCCCAAAUCAAAACCUGGAAAUCUUCAAAUCAUCUCAAGAAUAUUCGAGGGUUUGUAUAUAUAGGCAACAAUGUGCAAAGAAGUAGGGUAUCGGUGAUUAAUCUGUCAAAGUUCAUCUUACGGUUAUUUAGUGGAUUGAUUCUUCAAUUCAUCUUAUCUCUCAACUCUUCUCUAAUUUUCUGUCAUUUUUCCCACCUCAGUUCUGUUUUUUCUUCAUUCAUAUGGUUGACUUCAAUUGAGUUGAAUUUUCGAUUAGUUGCGGUUAAGGAGGAGCUAGAGUCCAAACCGUGACAAAUAGUAAUGGUGAUGUAAGGCGUGGCGUCAAGGAAGAAGAACGGAAGGAGGAAAGUGAAUCCGGAGACAAUGAACUCAACGAGGUAAGGUUAGUUCUGUAUUUUUGUCUUUGUAACCUUUUGUUGCAUUGUCAUAUCGAGUUUAUGGAAGUUAGCUUUUGUCUAUUGGAAUAUAGUGAGUCGGUGACCUCUGGAAUAAUGAAAUUUAUUUUAGUUGAUUUCUUGAGCUAUACCCGAAAAAUUGAAUAAUGAUAUAUGUCUGGUCAAAAAAAUUAGGAGUCUUGUAUAUUUUUGUGCAUUGAGAAAUGCAUAUUGCUUUCUAAUAUAUGUUUGUGUGUAUCUGAGAUUUGACACUGGGCAACUCACGUAGCUUUGCUUAUGCAUUAGGUGCAAAUUCUGGACACCAAAGAAGCCUUCUUAAUCUGUAUUUAUUCUACUUAAUUCUAGAUACAGAGAAAGAUUGAUCCCAGUGGGCAAGGAUGUAUAUACAAGGAUGUUUUGUUUUGCAUUUUUAUAAAGAUUCUUGUAGAAUUUGUUUUUAUCUAUGCCAUCAGAAUAUGCAAGUGGACCGCAUGCUCUAUUUAUGAAAGAUAUAUUAGGUACACGUUAUUGAAGAUUACUAAGAGCAUGUUUGGUUGAGAUUUUAAUUCAAUUACCAUCAAUUUUUU